GGAUCGAUACUUCGGUCGUGCCAUUGGUACGUACUGUGGUCAUCGAUUUCUCCCUUCUGACGAACCAUGAUGUCAUUAAUUUGGUGUUAUGGGAAAUCAGGACUGGUUUUACUUUGAAAAAUUAGAGUGUUUAAAGCAGGCAUUAGCUUGAAUACAUUAGCAUGGAAUAAUGAAAUAGGACGUUCGAACCUAUUUUGUUGGUUUUUAGGAUCAACGUAAUGA
rnacentral:rRNA from 1 species